rnacentral:rRNA from 1 species
GACGGAGGAUGCAAGCGUUAUCCGGAAUGAUUGGGCGUAAAGCGUCCGCAGGUGGCAGUUCAAGUCUGCUGUCAAAGACCGGGGCUUAACUUCGGAAAGGCAGUGGAAACUGAACAGCUAGAGUAUGGUAGGGGCAGAGGGAAUUCCUGGUGUAGCGGUGAAAUGCGUAGAGAUCAGGAAGAACAUCGGUGGCGAAGGCGGGUUGCUGGGCUGAUACUGACGCUGAGGCGCGAAAGCCAGGGGAGCGAACGGG